rnacentral:snRNA from 1 species
UAAUUAAUUUCCGGGGACA